rnacentral:lncRNA from 1 species
UCCAAAUAUUGUAUACAACUGCUGCAAACACCACUCCUAGAAUGGUUUUCCUUGGUUUUCUGUUGUUUACUCUAUCAGAGACCCAUUGCACCUCUAGCUCCCAGUUGUUUAUCAAUAUGUUGAAGUUCAGCCACUUUAACAAUCCUUGCCACAGUAAUUGGGAAUAAGAGCAGUUAAAGAACAGGUGGUCGUGUGUCUCUAUAGUGUCACUCCCACAUAGUGAACAAGACUGAUCAGUGUGGAUACCCCAUUUUUCUAACCUGUCAACUGUUGCCAAACGUCUAUG